rnacentral:rRNA from 1 species
AGUGAACGCUGGCGGUAGGCCUAACACAUGCAAGUCGAACGGCAGCACAGUAAGAUCUUGCUCUUACUGUUGGCGAGUGGCGGACGGGUGAGGCAUACAUCGGAAUCUACUUUUUCGUGGGGGAUAACGUAGGGAAACUUACGCUAAUACCGCAUACUACCUACGGGUGAAAUCAGGGGUUCUUCGCACUUUUCGCGAUUGAAUUAGCCGAUGUCGGAUUAGCUAGUUGGCGGGGUAAAGGCCCACCAAGGCGACGAUCCGUAGCUGGUCUGAGAGGAUGAUCAGCCACACUGGAACUGAGACACGGUCCAGACUCCUACGGGAGGCAGCAGUGGGGAAUAUUGGACAAUGGGCGAAAGCCUGAUCCAGCCAUACCGCGUGGGUGAAGAAGGCCUUCGGGUUGUAAAGCCCUUUUGUUGGGAAAGAAAAGCAGCAGGUUAAUACCCCGCUGUUCUGACGGUACCCAAAGAAUAAGCACCGGCUAACUUCGUG